UACGGAGGCCUCGAGCGUUGUUCGGAAUCACUGGGCUUAAAGCGCGUGUAGGCGGAACGGUAAGUACUUUGUGAAAUCCCCGGCUUCAAUCCGGGAACUGCUUGGUAUACUGCCGUUCUUGAGGCAGGUAGGGGUUACUGGAACCUUAGGUGGAGCGGUGAAAUGCGUAGAUAUCUAAGGGAACGCCUGUGGCGAAAGCUGGUGUCAGGGCCUGACCUGACGCUGAGACGCGAAAGCGUAGGGAGCAACCGGG
rnacentral:rRNA from 1 species